UAUCCAUAAUCAAUACAAAGCCUCAAUGUUCCAUCAAUCUUUUUAACUAACACCAGAGCACCCCAUGAUAAAAUAUUAAGCCAAAUAAAAUCCUCAUUUAAUAAUCCUUGUAGUUGCUUUUCCAAUUCCACUUACUCAAAUGAUAUCUUUCUGUAGAGAGGCUUAGAUAUUGGGAUUGUCCCAAGGACCAAAUCAAAAGCAAGAUCACAUUUGGAGAUAAUCCAAACAAGUCAUCCUGGGAUAUAUUAGGCAAGGAGAUAAAUAAUGUCCAAUACUCUCAAAAUAAAAAUCGGCUGAUCAAAUAUGCAAAAAGUGAUAAUUGGUUAUAUACCAAUCCAUACUGGUAUGAUAGGAAGAUAGCCAAUCCAUACCAAGUAUAAUAUCAAAACUCCAAAUCUCUAGGAGAACUAAAUCAGCAAAAGUUCAAGUUCUCCAAUAAGAAUCAGACAAGAGGACCAGAUUCAAGUUCGUUAUCAAAGAAUCUCCAAUGAUCGUAUUUUACAUAUAUCACAUAAUACAGUGGUCUAGGUUGAAUACCCAAGUGAUAAGCAAAAUAUUACGAAUCAAAUUGUAGAUUGGACCCAUGGUCGAACAAAUAUUUGCAUUCUUUCAUAAACAUGCAUAAUACCUUCGAUCACUAAUUCAUAAGUUUCAGAAUCAUAUUCAGUGAUAGCAUACACUCUGACAUGGGCUGAUGAUUUAUGAGGCAGUGACUCUUUCUUCUUGUUCAAGGGGCAGUCUUUUAUUUUAUGAUCCACCCUUCCACAAACAAAAUAGACUCCAGUCAUUUGAAAACACAAACUUGUUUCAUAAUUUAACUUACAAUUCACACGUGAUUGAGUCUUUUGUGGUUACUUCCUUUUUCAAAUCCAAAUGUCUUGACCCUCCUGUUAUUACUUACUGAUUCAUUUCCAAUCAUAUUUUUAUUGGUAAACUUGUUCUUGUCAUUCUUGCCAUUGAUCUUCAAAAAUUCUUUUCAUUGUUGCCAUUAAUGAUCAGCCUCUACUUCCAAUAUAAGGCGGCAAAAGAAAUCUUUUGAUCAUCAGAACAAUUUUGUACAUCAAAUAUCUUCUCUGUUUGCAUAAUCCAUUUUUCUGCCACCAAUGAAAUUAGGUCCACCAUGCUUCCGCUGCGCCACUCUGAUUCAAUAUCCCCAAUUACCCCUUUCAUCCCACUUAAUUAAUCAAAACCAGAUGAAAUAGGUGGACUAAAUGUCACCGUCAUCCUAGAUUCCUAAAAGACAUCAAGGAAAAUCUUCCCGAUCACUAUAGUGUACUAGACCUCGAAAUAUUUUGCACGUCAACAUAUCAAAUAUUUCAGUAAUCCUCAAACCAUGCUCUGAUACCACCUCUGUCACGCCCCUCAAAUAUAUCCAUAAUUUUUAAAACAAUUUCAACACAGACCAAUCCAUCCAGGAUCCAAACUAACGUUUGAGGACACUGAAAAACAUUCAAUCAAAUUCACAUCCAUAAAACCUGUGCAUUUAAAAAUCAUAUAUCACAUCACUCGAUAAUUAACAUUUAUGGCAACCCAAGCCAACUUGACAAACAUGAACAACAUUUAUAAAUCCACAAGCUAAAUAAAUUAUACAAUCAGAACUCCAACUAUUCACCAUAAGUUCAUAUCGUCAUAAAUUAGACUUAAUAUUCCGAAAUUCCAAAUAAGAGAGAUCUUCUAACACUUUUACACAGUAUAUCCAUUUCGAUUCAUCGACAACAUUUCAUUACAUACAAAACAUACUUAUACAACAAUAUCAUAAUAACCACCCAGACUUGCCCAUAAUUCUGAAUAGCUAUCCACUGCCUCAGCCCAAAUCAACCUCUCGAAGAGUGACAAGCUGACCUGAAAGAUUUAUAUAACAACGGAGUGAGCCAAAAACGGCUUAGCUAGUGACAAAGCAUAUUCAGAACAAAAGGAACGGUUUCAAACGAGUAAGGUAUCAUAAUGCAAGGCAGAAUACAAGAAUUCUCAAGGAUACCAUCUCAAUAGAUACCAAAUCAUACGUAUCAUGUCAUUCAAAACAUAUUUGAUCCGUAACGAAUGGAGCAU
rnacentral:lncRNA from 1 species